GACGAACGCUGGCGGCGUGCUUAACACAUGCAAGUCGAGCGGUAAGGCCCUUUCGGGGGUACGACGAGCGGCGAACGGGUGAGUAACACGUGGGUGACCUGCCCUCAGCUCUGGGAUAAGCCUGGGAAACCGGGUCUAAUACUGGAUAUGACUCCAUGACGCAUGUUGUGGGGUGGAAAGCCUUGUGCGGCUGAGGAUGGGCCCGCGGCCUAUCAGCUUGUUGGUGGGGUGGA
rnacentral:rRNA from 1 species